rnacentral:rRNA from 1 species
GAGUUUGAUCCUGGCUCAGAUUGAACGCUGGCGGCAGGCCUAACACAUGCAAGUCGAGCGGCAGCACGGGUACUUGUACCUGGUGGCGAGCGGCGGACGGGUGAGUAAUGCCUAGGAAUCUGCCUGGUAGUGGGGGAUAACGCUCGGAAACGGACGCUAAUACCGCAUACGUCCUACGGGAGAAAGCAGGGGACCUUCGGGCCUUGCGCUAUCAGAUGAGCCUAGGUCGGAUUAGCUAGUUGGUGAGGUAAUGGCUCACCAAGGCGACGAUCCGUAACUGGUCUGAGAGGAUGAUCAGUCACACUGGAACUGAGACACGGUCCAGACUCCUACGGGAGGCAGCAGUGGGGAAUAUUGGACAAUGGGCGAAAGCCUGAUCCAGCCAUGCCGCGUGUGUGAAGAAGGUCUUCGGAUUGUAAAGCACUUUAAGUUGGGAGGAAGGGCAGCUACCUAAUACGUAAUUGUUUUGACGUUACCGACAGAAUAAGCACCGGCUAACUCUGUGCCAGCAGCCGCGGUAAUACAGAGGGUGCAAGCGUUAAUCGGAAUUACUGGGCGUAAAGCGCGCGUAGGUGGUUCGUUAAGUUGGAUGUGAAAUCCCCGGGCUCAACCUGGGAACUGCAUUCAAAACUGACGAGCUAGAGUAUGGUAGAGGGUGGUGGAAUUUCCUGUGUAGCGGUGAAAUGCGUAGAUAUAGGAAGGAACACCAGUGGCGAAGGCGACCACCUGGACUGAUACUGACACUGAGGUGCGAAAGCGUGGGGAGCAAACAGGAUUAGAUACCCUGGUAGUCCACGCCG